CGCACUUACAGGAGCUCUACUCAGGAGCUUUUACGCAAGAGCUAGAAGGAUCCCUGGUGGCCCUGUGGGUUAUACGUUGAGCUGCUAGUCUCCAGAACAAUGCCUGUCGCGUCCCAGCAGCUGCCAGAGGCCUGCAGUUCCAAACAGGCUCAUCAUGAUCAUCCUCCAGCAGGAGCCAAGAUGGUCAUAGAAGGCUAUGUAACCAUGGAAGAUGGGCUGCAGAAAGUGGCGUGGUGAAAGAAACAGAGAUCAGAGAAGAGUUAAAAGAUGAAAUGCUGCUGAUUUUGCCAAGGACUAUAAGUGGCCUUUCGAAACUGGAAAAUACAAGGGAGCAAAUUCUUCCCCCUAGAGCAGUGGUUCUCACCAGUCCUAAUGCCGCGACCCUUUAAUACAGUUCCUCAUGUUGUGGU